rnacentral:rRNA from 1 species
CCUACGGGAGGCUGCAGUGGGGAAUAUUGGGCAAUGGGCGCAAGCCUGACCCAGCAACGCCGCGGGAAGGAAGAAGGCUUUCGGGUGGUAAACGUCGGGUGACAGGGAAGAGGAGAAGACGGUACCUGUCGAAUAAGCCACGGCUAACUACGGGCCAGCAGCCGCGGUAAUACGUAGGUGGCAAGCGUUGUCCGGAUUUACUGGGUGUAAAGGGCGUGUAGCCGGGUUGACCAGGCAGAUGUGAAAUCCUGCGGCUUAACCGCAGAACUGCAUUUGAAACUGUUGAUCUUGAGUACUGUAGAGGCAGCCGGAAUUCCUCGUGUAGCUGUGACAUGCGUAGCUCUUAGGAGGCACACCAGUGGCGAAGGCGGUCUGCUGGACAGCAACUGCCGGUGCGGCGCUACAGCGUUGGGAGCAAACCGGCUUAGAUCCCCUGGUAGUC